CCUACGGGAGGCAGCAGUGAGGAAUAUUGGUCGAUGGUCGGGAGACUGAACCAGCCAAGCCGCGUGAGGGAUGAAGGUACAGAGUAUCGUAAACCUCUUUUGUCAGGGAACAAAGGCGGGGACGUGUCCCCGGUUGAGUGUACCUGAAGAAAAAGCAUCGGCUAACUCCGUGCCAGCAGCCGCGGUAAUACGGAGGAUGCGAGCGUUAUCCGGAUUUAUUGGGUUUAAAGGGUGCGCAGGCGGGUUGUUAAGUCAGCGGUCAAAGCCCGGGGCUCAACCCCGGCCCCGCCGUUGAACCUGGCAGUCUCGAGUUGGAGAGAAGUAUGCGGAAUGCGCGGUGUAGCGGUGAAAUGCAUAGAUAUCGCGCAGAACUCCGAUUGCGAAGGCAGCAUGCCGGCUCCACACUGACGCUGAGGCACGAAAGCGUGGGUAUCGAACAGGAUUAGAUACCCCAGUAGUC
rnacentral:rRNA from 1 species